GCCUAGUCUUCAUUGGCUCCACACCACUGAAAGUUUGAUCUGACCAGCUUCGCCUCGACGACCCGCCCUACACAGGUACCCCCUUCCGUACCCUUCCGAGAUGGUCCUACAUUUUUCGGACCGGGCUUGCCAGCCUGUUGACAAAUUCCCACGGCUUGUAAGAGGUGGUAGGGUUUAGCCGAGUUAACGCUGUACUCCUUCGAGAACCGAAGGUCAUACGACGCUCCACGUGAUCAUCGGCUGGGGAGAAUGCCUGCAACGGAAAAACACGCUUGCAGGGAGUGGGGGGGGUUCGAACCCGGAGGCUCUCCCAUAUCACAGAGUGAUAAGGUGACGACAGA
rnacentral:misc_RNA from 1 species